CACAUGUGAUUCACACACACACACACACACACAUACCAGAUCUCCUUUAUCCUCUAUACUUUGUUCUCUUUGUAAAGAAAUCUAUGAUCACAUGUAUCUGUUUAUCCUGAUCAUAAUCAAUAAGGAGAUUAUUCAUUAUUCUCUU